ensembl:lncRNA
UGGGAUUCUCCAGGCAAGAAUACUGGAGUGGGUUGCCAUUUCCUUCUCCAGGGGAUCUUCCCAACUCAGGGAUCGAACCUGGGUCUCCUGCAUUGCAGGCAGAUGCUUUAUCCUCUGAGCCAUCAGGGAAACCUACAUAUAUAUAUAUAUACACACACACAUAUAUAUACAUAUAAAUACCAUACCUUAUAUAUCAAAUCAUCUGUUGAUGAGCAUCUAGGUUGUUUCCACGUCUUGGCUAUUGUAAAUAGUGCAGCUAUGAUCAUUGGAGUGUGUAUUUUUUUUUAAUUAGAGUUUUCCAUGAUAUAUGCCCAGGAGUGGGAUCACUGAAUCAGGAAAAGGAUAUGUCAUGCAAAUGGAAAUAAAAAGAAAACUGGAGUGAGCAUUUCCUUCUAGAGCUAAGGACAGUCACAAAGUAUGAGGGCCUGUUCGUUUUUUGAAAUCCUUAUGUAGGGGAGUAAGAUCUGAAAUUGUGCCAGGUCUGAGUAUGACCUCUUCCCUUGGCUGGGUAGUUUUCUCCUGGACUUGAAGCAACUUGGCUGAGAGCAAAGGAAAAAAACAAAAACAAAAACAAAAAAACACGGGCUUCCUGGGGCAGCACAGUUUGUGAUGCUGUCUGUGUUGGCUGAUUUGCCUUCCCAGGGCAUAGAGAAAAUAAGAGCUUGAGGUUCUGCUUCCUUGCAGCAAAGAGGCUCACAAGAAGAUCUCAGAAGUCAGCAAAGCACUUAAGCAAAAUGUCUGGCAAUAUCCUGACCUGAGAAAGGAAGCCUGGACCUUGGGGGAAAGAGUGCCUUACAGAGGCUUGGCCUCAUUGCCUGGCGCCCACCUUUGCUUUGAGCCACUUUGCGUCCUGAGAAGGAUUUGACAAGUCAUGACUCCUGGGUUUCAUCAUUACCCGUCAUCAAUAUUUAAGGAGCUGGAGAGUAGGGGUGAUAAUGAAUGUGAUGCAAAGGAUAGGGAAGCGUGGCUGGAUUGUGUGUGUGUGGGGGGAAUGUGCACGUGUGUAUGAGAUGUGGAUUAAUCAAUGACUUAUUGAGGACUAUCUCUAGGCAUAUCCCAGAGAGUUUCCUGACUCUGUGUGUCCUUUUAGUUUUCUUCUGUUGGUCUGUCUGAAGAGUGUGGUCUGCAGGUCUGAGUCCCCUAGACAUUAAGUUACUAAAAGGGCAAGCAGGAAGGGAAUAGAUGGAGCAGACCACACAGUGCCCACAUGGCACCCACAUGGCACCCACAUGGACACACUGCCCCUGCACACCAUCAUGAAGCCAGGUGCAGGGGUGCCCUUCAGUCCCAUCCAGAGAUAUGAAUCGUGCUGCUCCCAAUCACGAAUUCCCAUCACUGCAGAAAGGUGGUUUAGUCAAGUCUCAGGUGACAAGAACAGGAGCUCUCUCAAGUUAGUGCAGAUAAAGGAGAAUUUUCUGGACCCUAGUGUAGCAUGUGCAACUGUGCUUCAUGGAGUCUGGGAGGUUGCUGGGCAGCUGCCCUCUCUACUUCAUUCUCCCUGACCACAUAGCCUCUUAUCUGGGAUUCUCUCUGCACUUCUGGUCUCCUCUCUGCACACAGCUUUCUUUACUGUCCUGUAAAUUCAGCCUUAAUGUGGCUUGGUGCACCAUGGUGCUGACCGAUCCCCGCUUGACAAGACAGUACAGUUCCAGUACAGCGCCAAUAUUUUAGACCAGCCUUCCUGUGCUGGUUAGUUAGUUAGUUAACUAGUUAGUCAGAGCAAGCAGCUGUGUGAUCAGGGUGGAGUCCCUUGGCAUAAGGGCCCAGUCCUAUGGCCACUUUGGCUCACUCCUUUAGUAUGGUCUGUGGGGAUGAGAUGGUCAUGCAUACUGGGGACACAUUUACAUUAAAAACUGAUUUCUUAUUUCCCUGAAAUUCAAAUUUAACUGGUUGACCUAUAUUUUUAUUUUCUAAGUCUGGCAACCCUUUAGGGGGCACUCUGAGGGAGUCUACCAUAGGGACUAAGGAAGCAAUACUUUUUCAAAAGCACAUUUUGUCUUUCAGUCAAGAGCAAAUGUCAGCUUUGCUAUAUGCAACAAGUUUGAAUCCUACAAUCUUCUGAAUGCAAGUUUCAAAAUGGGCAUAAUUAUCUUAUUAAAGAAAAAUCAUCAGGUUUCACCUUUCUCCUGCUUUAACCUACCCUUUUAUUGCAAACAAUUCUCAUGACUGUGCCUUGAACACUCAGCAUUUUUUUCUGGGAGUUGCUAAUACUGAUUUGAGAAAUACCAGUUAGUUGUAAAGUUCACUUGAUAAUGCAUAUACGGACUAAUGGCAAUCAUGUUUUUUUUUAAAAAUAUGGAUAAUAAUUACAAAGAAAAUGUAAGAACUGUUAAGGUAAAGGGAUGGUGAGGGGUUUCUUUUCUUAUAAUUUCAUUUACAGUUAUUAUAAUGUUUUAUGUGCAGCAAAUUUGAAUUAUAAAAUACAUUUCUGGAGG